rnacentral:rRNA from 1 species
GAUGAACGCUAGCGGCAGGCCUAAUACAUGCAAGUCGGACGGGAUUUGGGAGCUUGCUCCCAAUGAGAGUGCGCACGGGUGCGUAACACGUAUGUAACCUACCUUAGUCGGGGGGAUAGCCUCUCGAAAGAGAGAUUAAGACCGCAUAAAAUCACAGUAUAGCAUUAUACAAUGAUCAAAUAUUUAUAGGACUAAGAUGGGCAUGCGGAACAUUAGCUAGUUGGUGAGGUAACGGCCCACCAAGCUACGAUGUUUAGGGAUCUGAGAGGAUCGACCCCCCACACUGGUACUGAGACACGGACCAGACUCCGUACGGGAGGCAGCAGUAAGGAAUAUUGG